rnacentral:lncRNA from 1 species
GCGGGGCGCCGCUGCUGGGGCGGCGCUGAGGGGUCCGGGUGGGUGCUGGACGCGCCCGCGUUCGGGGCUGCCCCGCGGGGCGACAUCCAGUGAGCCACGGGAUGCAUCCAGUGCCUCAGGUGCUCCUUGCCCCACUGCCCCCCUGCCCCCCUGCUGGUGCAGCCCCGGCCGAGGGUGCCCCGAGCCGGCUCUCCGCCGGCCGUGCCGGCGCCGCCGCUGCCGCCCCCUGCCGAGUGCGGCGCCGCUGUGCUGGAGGGGUCCCGAGGGAACAGACCCAACCCGGGGCUGAGACCCAAAACCCCAUUCCCCUCUCCAGCUGACAGAUGUAGAGGAGUCUUACACCACCUGAGGCACAGAAACCUUGCAUCAGUCAAAAGCUUCCCUACCCCUGCACUCUUCCAUGCAUGUCCCAAGAAUGAGCUGAGGCUGCCGUUGUGUCCUUUCCUCUUCUCCCUGCACUGAUGCUGUGUUGAGGAAGAGAAAUGUAUAAUGUGUGUGAAGAUAGUGUGUCUUCAGGAAAUGUGGUGAGAGCUUACUAUGGAAAGGAACUUCUCGGUGACUGUGCUCCGGGAGAAGAUGAACCCCCACCCCAGUGUAGAGCCAAUGCAGAGCUGCUGCAGCUCUUGCUUCCCAGCAUAGCUGGGCCAUGGCAUGGUUCUGCACAACCCUUUGUCUGGGUUUUGGAUGGGUCAAGAAACAGCUCUGUGACCCACUUCUUCCUGGACAGCCAAAUACAUCCUACUGCACCAGAGAGAGGAGCUUCCCUGCAGGAGGUAGAGGCUAUGGAUGUCCUGAGGUGCCCUCCUGGGAUAUCUGAAAUUGCUUUUCCUGCUCACCUGUGGAAAGACCCUCAAAUCCAAGGGCAGGUAGAAAAGACCUUAUUAAAGAGUGCAAGGCCCCAGACUUCUCCCUGCUUGGAUGGAGCAGAAAUGCAGUGA